AUGGCGCAGGGGACGCUGGAGGUGCUGCUCGUCGGAGCCAAGGCCCUCGAGAACACCGACUACCUCUGCAACAUGGACCCGUACGCGGUUCUAAAAUGCACCUCGCAGGAGCAGAAGAGCACCGUCGCCUCAGGAAAGGGAAGUGAUCCUGAGUGGAACGAAACCUUUGUGUUCACCGUCUCUGAGAAUGCAACCGAGCUCGUCAUCAAGCUUCUGGACAGUGAUGGUGGCACGGACGACGACAGCGUUGGUGAAGCAACGAUCCCAUUGGAUGGAGUGUACACUGAAGGAAGCAUCCCACCAACUGUUUACAAUGUUGUCAAAGACGAAGAGUACCGUGGAGAAAUCAAAAUCGGUCUGACGUUCACUCCGGAGGAGGCUCGUGAUCAGGAUCAACCCGAGGAAAACUACGGUGGGUGGAACCAAUCAUCUUAA
rnacentral:rRNA from 1 species